AAGACCUUACGCUUUUGGAGCGGCCGAUGUCUGAUUAGCUUGUUGGUGAGGUAAAGGCUUACCAAGGCUUCGAUCAGUAGCUGGUCUGAGAGGACGACCAGCCACACUGGGACUGAGACACGGCCCAGACUCCUACGGGAGGCAGCAGUGGGGAAUUUUGGACAAUGGGGGAAACCCUGAUCCAGCCAUGCCGCGUGAGUGAAGAAGGCCUUCGGGUUGUAAAGCUCUUUCAGCCGGAACGAAACGGUUACGAUUAAUACCUGUAACUACUGACGGUACCGGAAGAAGAAGCACCGGCUAACUACGUGCCAGCAGCCGCGGUAAUACGUAGGGUGCGAGCGUUAAUCGGAAUUACUGGGCGUAAAGCGUGCGCAGGUGGUUUUGUAAGUCAGAUGUGAAAUCCCCGGGCUUAACCUGGGAACU
rnacentral:rRNA from 1 species